rnacentral:tRNA from 1 species
GGCAAGGUGGUGAAAGGAUCACAAAACAUUUUGGAUGUUUAGUAACGAGUGUCUCGUGUUUGCCU